ensembl:misc_RNA Metazoa_SRP Metazoan signal recognition particle RNA
GCUGGGCAUGGUGGCUCAUGCCUAUAAUCCCUGCACUUUGGGAGGCUGAGGCAGGAGGAUCAUUUGAGCCCAGGAGUUUGAGCCCAGCCUGGGCAACAUAGGGAGACUUCAUCUUUACAAAAAAAUAGAAUAUUAGCCAGGUGUGGUGGUGUGCUCCUAUGGUUCCAGCUACUCAGGAGGCUGAAGGGGGAGGAUCAUUUGAGCCCAGAAGUUUGAGGCUGCAGUGAGCUACGAUUGCACCACUGCACUCCAGCCUGGGCAACAGAGUGAGACCCUGCCUCU